AGAGGGAUGGCAGAGCGGUCUAAUGCGGCGGUCUUGAAAACCGUUGACUGUAACAGGUCCGGGGGUUCGAAUCCCUCUCCCUCUG
rnacentral:tRNA from 1 species